rnacentral:rRNA from 1 species
GAUGAACGCUGGCGGCGUGCCUAAUACAUGCAAGUCGAGCGAACAGACGAGAAGCUUGCUCCUCUGACGUUAGCGGCGGACGGGUGAGUAACACGUGGAUAACCUACCUAUAAGACUGGGAUAACUUCGGGAAACCGGAGCUAAUACCGGAUAAUAUAUUGAACCGCAUGGUUCAAUAGUGAAAGACGGUUUUGCUGUCACUUAUAGAUGGAUCCGCGCCGCAUUAGCUAGUUGGUAAGGUAACGGCUUACCAAGGCAACGAUGCGUAGCCGACCUGGGAGGGUGAUCGGCCACACUGGAACUGAGACACGGUCCAGACUCCUACGGGAGGCAGCAGUAGGGAAUCUUCCGCAAUGGGCGAAAGCUUGACGGAGCAACGCCGCGUGAGUGAUGAAGGUCUUCGGAUCGUAAAACUCUGUUAUUAGGGAAGAACAAAUGUGUAAGUAACUAUGCACGUCUUGACGGUACCUAAUCAGAAAGCCACGGCUAACUACGUG